rnacentral:misc_RNA from 1 species
AAGACUAUAGACCUGCGGAGUACCUGCGGAGGGAUCAUUACCGAGUUUACAACUCCCAAACCCAAUGUGAACGUUACCAAACUGUUGCCUCGGCGGGAUCUCUGCCCCGGGUGCGUCGCAGCCCCGGACCAAGGCGCCCGCCGGAGGACCAACCAAAAACUCUUUUUGUAUACCCCCUCGCGGGUUUUUAUAUAUCUGAGCCUUUCUCGGCGCCCCUUCGUGGGCGUUUCGAAAAUGAAU